CCUACGGGAGGCAGCAGUGGGGAAUUUUCCGCAAUGGGCGAAAGCCUGACGGAGCAACGCCGCGUGGGGGAUGAAGGCCUCUGGGCUGUAAACCCCUUUUCUCAAGGAAGAAGACCUGACGGUACUUGAGGAAUGAGCCACGGCUAAUUCCGUGCCAGCAGCCGCGGUAAUACGGGAGUGGCAAGCGUUAUCCGGAAUUAUUGGGCGUAAAGCGUCCGCAGGCGGCCUAUUAAGUCUGUCGUUAAAGCGUGGAGCUCAACUCCAUUUAAGCGAUGGAAACUGGAAGGCUAGAGUGUGGUAGGGGCAGAGGGAAUUCCCGGUGUAGCGGUGAAAUGCGUAGAUAUCGGGAAGAACACCAGUGGCGAAGGCGCUCUGCUGGGCCAUAACUGACGCUCAUGGACGAAAGCCAGGGGAGCGAAAGGGGAUUAGAUACCCCUGUAGUCCUGGCCGUAAACGAUGAACACUAGGUGUCGGGGGAAUCGACCCCUCGGUGUCGUAGCUAACGCGUUAAGUGUUCCGCCUGGGGAGUACGCGACGCAGUGUGAACGUACAAGUAGAAGUUAGACGGCGUGAGAACGUGCCGACGGACGACGACGAGGGAGGUUAGG
rnacentral:rRNA from 1 species